ensembl:lncRNA
CUUAGUUUCUUCUUGAUUAGGGUUUCAUGUUGGUAAGUUAUCAGGGUUGUUAUAAGUUAAAAAGGUUGAAAAGAGAGACAUCUGCACUUUUCAUAAGGGACAUUGAGAUACAGGGUGAGUGGAAUAUGUCAGAGGUGAUGUUGUUGCUGGAGGUGAUGGUGAUGCUGGAGGUGAUGGUGAUGCUGGAGGUAAUGUUGCUGGAGGGGAUGGGGAUGCUGGAGGUGAUGGUGAUGCUGGAGGUAAUGUUGCUGGAGGGGAUGGUGUUGCUGGAGGUGAUGGUGAUGCUGGAGGUAAUGGGGAUGCUGGAGGUGAUGGUGUGGCUGGAGGUGAUGGUGAUGCUGGAGGUGAUGGUGUGGCUGGAGGUGAUGGUGUGGCUGGAGGUGACGAUGUUCUUGGUGAUGACGGUGAUGUAUUUGUCUUUAUUUAACUGCCUCAGAGCAGAGCUGAAAACAGAUAUUUAAUACCUCUGUCAGGAAGAGAGAAGAGGAAAGGAGAUGGAGAGAGAGAGAGAGCGGGAGAGAGAUAGAGAGAGAGAGAGAGAGAGAGAGAGGACAGGGCAAAAAAGGAGCAUCUGGUUACUAUAAGGUACAGAAGGGGGGGGGUGAAUUUAUUGACACAGAGAACUUGAUUGGGAGAGAAAAAGGGGAAGAGGGUGGAAGACAGAGUGGGGGGUCAAUGUGUUCAGGGCUCAAUAUUGAUCAUGUGAGGGUUGCGGUUAGGUGAUGUUUAGGGUUUAGGGUUAGGGUUUAGGGUUAG